rnacentral:RNase_P_RNA from 1 species
GGAGCAGACCAGAUGGCCGCUGUCCACCGUAGCCUCGGCGAAGGUGGAGGGAGGAAAGUCCGGGCUCCACAGGGCAUGGUGCUGGAUAACGUCCAGCGGGGGCAACCCCAGGGAUAGUGCCACAGAGAGAAGUCCGCCCACCACAACCUUGGCGACAAGGUCCGCCGUAGCCUCGGCGAAGGCGGAAGGUGGGUAAGGGUGAAAGGGUGAGGUAAGAGCUCACCGGGUUCGGCGGCGACGUCGGAUGCCAGGUAAACCCCACCAGGAGCAAGACCAAAUAGGGAAGCGUUAAGGGCGGCCCGUCCGUGCUUCCGGGUUGGUUGCUUGAGGGCACCGGCAACGGUGCUCCUAGAUGAAUGACCAUCGCCCGCCGCCGGGUAACCGGUUGCGGGAACAGAACCCGGCUUACGGGCUGCUCCGGCC